GUUGUCGCUUAAGGAUGACGUAAUCCAGACAUAUAAAUUAGCCCAUCUCCCUUGUGACGUUCUCUUUGAAUCGUUGCUAUCGCUUGACGAGAAAUAUCUUCUCAUCAUGAGAGCGAAGUGGCGAAAGAAGCGUAUGCGCAGGCUGAAGCGUAAAAGGAGAAAGAUGAGGCAGAGGUCCAAGUAAACUGGACUCCCUUCGCUGAAGCGGAGUGCUCGUCUACUUUAUAUCCCCUCAGCAAGAGACUGCUGGAAGCCCAACUGAAGAGCUGCUCGUCCCCCACCUAUGAGCCCAGCCAUCUUCUGAAAAAGUUCCCUCACUUGGUUCUGCAGCGCCAUUCUGGUCUCGAUGACCCUGUUAUCUGUGUCUUGGACAUUCCUCAGACUUGGAUCAGCUCCGUGUUUUUAAAUAUCUAAAAUAAAUUUUGGGUUUUAAAAGUUA